UAUCACGCACAGAUGGGCACGACUUCGUGUGCCUUAUGUGAGCGUCGUCCACACAGUAGGCUUGUGUACACGAGCCUACGCACUUUGAGGCUAGGCCUGCAGUGUGCGACGCCCCCUUGGGCGCCUUAUGCCGCUGCUAGUUUGGGCAGCGUGCCGUUGUCGCUUGGGCAAUGUGCUACCGUCAUUUGGGUGGCAUGCCUUUAUCUUUCGUGCUGCUGUCACAUCGUGUCAUCUAUCCACCAGUCAUCACAUCACACCUUUCCCAUUAACUUUCUCUCUCCUCACCAUAUUUUGCCACUUGACGCAAAUCUAACGAUCCCUAUUUUUUAUAAAUAGGGACCCUCCCUUCACCAUUUCCUCAUCACUUUCAUUUUCAUUCUUCUAUCCUCCAAGAGCUUUAAAGAGAGGGAGUGAUCUAGAGAGAGAGGGAAAGGAGAAGA
rnacentral:lncRNA from 1 species